rnacentral:lncRNA from 1 species
GGCAUAGGGGCUCAAGGGCCCCGUUACAGUAUUUUGGGGAGUUUACCCUCUAGAGGAUUCCACUGGUUACUUCAGGUACACCUUAUGUAAAUGGAGAGGGUGAAGUAAAGUUACAAAGUUAUUUACUUGGCCUGUGCCCUGCAGAGAGGAUAUUUCCUGUCAUAGCUGAAGUGUGAAUUGGCCUUAUAUUCCCUGCAUCCAGACCCUGUUUUCCUGCCUCACCACCAGGCCCCUCCUCCAACAGUGGGGAUUAUAAUUCGGCAUGAGAUUUGGGUGAAGACAAAGAGCCAAACAGUAUCAUAUGAUAUUGACAAUCUGUCUCUCUCUCUCUUUUUUUUUUUUUUUUUUGAGACAGGGAAUCACUCUCUGUCACCCAGUCUUGAGUGCAAUGGUAUGAUCACAGCUCACUGCAGCUUCGAGCUGCCGGACUCAAGCAAUCCUCCCAUCUCAGCCUCCUGAGCAGCAAGACUACAGGCAUGCACCACCACACCUGGCUAAAUAUUUAAUUUUUUAUAGAGACAAGACCUUGCUCUGUUGCCCAGGAUGGUCUCAAACUCCUAAGCUUAAGUGAUCCUACUGCCUUGGACUCCGAAGUACUAGGAUUACAGGGCAGUUUCAGGAGCUGAUACAGUACAAACACGGCCUCUAUUCUUCCAAGAUCUUGACGGGGAAAAUGAAUGCAACACUUAGUUGCUUUUGUACCAGGAGGGAACUUUGAGACCUGAUUGGAGCCUGGACUUUCUGGGACUCCUGGAGAGACGCAGGACCUCAGAGCUUCGUAGAUGUAUACAGAGAUGUGUAAGAGAAAAUUCACCACAAUUUUAAUGUUACCUUAAGCAACCUUUAAAGGGUGGUUCCAAGAUGGCCGAAUAGGAACAGCUCCAGUUUACAGCUCCCAGUGUGAGCAACACAGAAGACAGGUGAUUUCUGC